rnacentral:ncRNA from 1 species
CCUGUCUCUGACAGGUCGGGAUGUGACUUCACACGGAGUUGAACCACUUG